UUUAAAACCAGAUGGCAGUGCUAACAUCCUUAUGAUUUAAUCCUAAAUGAGCCUUGAUGCUGAAUUAGCCUCUCUGUAACCUUUCUGUCACAAAACAGGCAGACGGCUGGUUCCGAAUGCAGCAGGUUUAUUAGCUGAGCUAAAAGUCUACAAAGCGAAAUCAGGGGCAGGCAGUACGGGGUCAAUAUCGAGCAUGGGAGCUUCAAAGAAACAAUGAAAAUAGUCAGGAUCCAGACGAGAGUCGGGGCAGGCGGCAGGCAAACGGAAUCAGAGACAAAACAGGGUCAGGAUAUCAGAAGAUCAGGGGCCUCAUUUAUAAACGUUGCGUACGCACAAAAGAAGGCGUACGCCACUCUCUACGCAAUAGUUGAGAUUUAUAAAAAGCAAACUUGACGGGAAAAUGUGCGGUCCUUCACGCAAGCUCUGACCCAGGCGUACGCACAAAAACAGGUGAAAUGAGAAACGGCGACACCGUCGGCAGAUGGAAGAAACACGUGAAAGUGACAGUGUGUGCCAAAUCCUGCUGGCAUCUGCUGUUCUACACAAUGUGGCACAGCUUAAAAACGUGCCUCUACCCCCUGGCGCUGAUUGCUGUGUUGGCCCCGACCCUGAACCCCAUCCCCACGCAUUUGAGCCAAAUGCUGCUGCUGUGCGCCAGCGUUUGGAAGAUAUGCGUCGCUUGUAAAGAACAACAAAAGGACUGCAUCGGUGAGGACACGUCCACUGCUGGAGGGUUGAGAGCCGCGUGCCGUGGAGACGCUGGGUCCAGACGGCUGCUCGGCUGCAGCAUCGUAACCACUGGCCCCGCUGGAACACCCAGCAACUAAAAUAAAAUUGUUCUAUAUUAAUAAUCUGUAAUUGUGUAGCCUGCAUACAUGUGACUUGACUGCAUUCAUUUUAAUUAUUUCUCUUACCUGUGUCACCCGGUGCGUCUUGCGCGUCAGUCAGGUGACUGAGGCGGAGGGGGACGCCGAUAAGGGGGACCUAAUAGGGAUUCCCCAAUAAUAGCCGCCAGUCUCUCAUCAAGACGGGUCAGCUCCGGUGUCCCCCCCCCCCGUGGCAGAAACACUCUGCCGAUGCAGUGCCAGACGUUCUUUUGCCUCGACUUUGAUGUCCGACCAUUUCUUUUUUAUUUCGGCCACGGUCCGAGGUUGUGAGGCUACAGCAUUUACGGCGUCUGCCACCGUUUGCCGCUCACGUGCCUUUUUGGCAUUAGUAAUGCCGACUGUGCCCUCCAAACAACACUUUCUCCUCUUUUCCACCUCGCCAACGAUAACUUCUACUUCACAUUGAGUGAAGUUACGGUUUUUUGAUUUCCUCUCUGUGUUUGCCAAGAUUUAGCAAGCCAUGAAUAUUAAUUUGUGGGCGUUUCACGGACUAUUUAUGGGCAACUAUAGGCGUGUCAUGUAGCCGCAAAAGCUGCGCUGCAUUUAGAAUCAGUUGUGAUUUAUAAAGGGAAAGAUGCGUAGGAUGUGCGUGCGCACGGUUUUAUAAAUCCGAAUAUUUCUGUGCGUACGCACGUCCUAUGUUUCAUCCGUACGCCACUUCUGACGCAAAUCCUACGCAAAGUUUUAUAAAUGAGGCCCCAGGUCCGGAUGUGACACUCGGCAAUGUAGGUAGAGUGGCAAAUAACGUUUUUUUGUUUUUGUUUUUUGCACUGAGUGAGGCUCAGUGUAGUCCUUAAGUGUACUGUGAGUGAUUGCAAAUGAAAGUCAGGUGUGCAGCAUCCAGGAACUCUGCACUGGGCUUGCUGGGAGAUGUAGUACAGUACAUGCAGAACUCUGGAGAUGAUUCCUGCUGAUGAACAGAGGGGGGCUCUGACUUUUGACACUUUCACCUUCAGAGAACAUUUAGAAUACUGUUACACCAAAAAGAG
ensembl:lncRNA